UAGGGAAUUUUCCACAAUGGGCGAAAGCCUGAUGGAGCAACGCCGCGUGCAGGAUGACGGCCUUCGGGUUGUAAACUGCUUUUAUGAGUGACGAUUAUGACGGUAACUCAAGAAUAAGGGUCGGCUAACUACGUGCCAGCAGCCGCGGUCAUACGUAGGACCCAAGCGUUAUCCGGAAUCACUGGGCGUAAAGAGUUGCGUAGGUGGCUUGUUAAGCAGCGUGUGAAAGCGUACGGCUCAACCGUAUACACAUACACUGAACUGGCAAGCUUGAGGAUGAGAGAGGUUAUUGGAAUUCCAAGUGUAGGAGUGAAAUCCGUAGAUAUUUGGAGGAACACCGAUGGCGUAGGCAGAUAACUGGCUCAUUCCUGACACUAAGGCACGAAAGCGUGGGGAGCAA
rnacentral:rRNA from 1 species